CUUCCUUCGGGAAGUGGAUUAGCGGCGGACGGGUGAGUAACACGUGGGUAACCUGCCUCAAAGUGGGGGAUAGCCUUCCGAAAGGAAGAUUAAUACCGCAUAAUAUAGGAGAAUCGCAUGAUUUUCUUAUCAAAGAUUUAUUGCUUUGAGAUGGACCCGCGGCGCAUUAGCUAGUUGGUAAGGUAACGGCUUACCAAGGCAACGAUGCGUAGCCGACCUGAGAGGGUGAUCGGCC
rnacentral:rRNA from 1 species